rnacentral:rRNA from 1 species
UACAGAGGGUGCAAGCGUUGUUCGGAAUUAUUGGGCGUAAAGCGCGUGUAGGCGGCUUUGCAAGUCGGGUGUGAAAGCCCACGGCUCAACCGUGGAAGUGCGCCCGAAACUGCAGAGCUUGAGUACCAAAGAGGAUGGCGGAAUUCCGCAAGUAGAGGUGAAAUUCGUAGAUAUGGGGAGGAACACCGGUGGCGAAGGCAGCCAUCUGGGUGGUCACUGACGCUGAGACGCGAAAGCGUGGGUAGCAAACAGG